ACUUUCACAUAUACCCACGUGUGGUCAGCUGAAAAAUGACUCCUCGAAAGAUAUUCAUAUCAAACUCCUGGCAGCUAUGAAUGUGACUUUAUUUGGAAAAAGGGUCUUUGCAGGUGUAAUUAAAUGAAGGAUGUUGAGAUAAGGUGAUUAUUUGGGAUUGCUCAGGUUGGCCCUAAUUCGAAUGAUGAAUGUCUUUAUGAGAGAACGGCAGAGGGAGAUUUGAGACAGAUAGGAGUGAAAACACAGAGAGGAGGAGGAGGCAACGUGACCAUGGAAUAAGACAUUGGAGUGAAGUAGCCACAAGCCAAGGAAUGCCUAAAGCCACCAAAAGCUGGAAGACGCAGGAAAGGAGCCUCCUGGAGAGAUUUCUGAGGGAGCACAGCCCCACCGAUGCCAUGAUUUCAGCCUUCUGGUUCCCAGAAUUGUGAAAGAGUAAAUUUCUGUUGUUUCAAGUGGCCAAGUUGGUGGUAAUUUGCUACUGAAACCCCAGGAAGGGGCCUGCCAAAGGCUUCAAACAGCAUCUUUAUGGGCCACUGCCACUUCAAGCACCACCAGAUCUGCUGAGUUGUACAGGCCAUGUAGCAGAGUACCUUGCAUGGCAGCCUGGGCCUGUUGCAGAGCCCUCGCUUAUUUUGAGCACCACUCAAAACUGGCAGCUCCUAUGGAUCACUUGCUUUGUGCCUGGAUACUAGCAGGAAGGAAGAGGAGGAGCAAGAAUGGAAGGCUUGUACCAACAAGUUCUUAUCCUUUUUAAUGAGGAAAACAAGAGCAUCCCUAUUCUGCUCUUAUCUCACCGAGUUCCAUGGCCAUUCUGAGCUGCAGUGGAGUCUUGGGAGAAUUUGUAUGUGUUGAAGUUGGUGGAUAGACAUGAGAAGCAGAUUGAGGGAUCUGUGGAAAGGGAGAGGAAGAGGAGGAGGGGGCUGUCAGAGGAGUAAUGGAUGCUAGAGGAAUGGAUUCCCUCCAGUUUUAGUAAAUAUAGGUAAUUUUCACUGCAUGUAAACUCUCAUUCUCUUCUUAAGAGAGAAGGCUUGGGAGAUAAAGAUUCCUUAAACUUCAAGCCACUUCUGCUGCCUUUUCUCUCUGAAAGGAGAACCUCUUUUUCCCCAUUAUUGCUUGCUGGGUCUUAUGAGGGUUUGCUUUGGCCCACGAUACCUGUUUGGUGAUCUUGUGUCUUCUCUGUCAACAACCAAAGUGACUUCUUUGGGUUUGGAUUUCCAUUUUUCCAUUCCUUGGAGACAUUGUUUGUAAAUUUGCUGUCAAAGUAAGAGAAUGACUCUCAGCUUAUGAUUUUAGGCUGAGUGGUUAGGAAGGACAGAAUUUAUAACAUCAAUGAAAGAGUUCCUUUCAGGCAGGUGGAACUUGGGCAGAUACCAAGUCACACCAUACAGAAGUCUCCUACUUGGCCUAAACACAGGUAUGGCUGUGGAAGUUCUCCUUAAACUCAUUGUAGUGGCACUGAUUACCCAGGUCCCAUCUGAAUGCUUCCUGAAUCCCUGUGGAAUAAACUUGGAACAGGGUGGCCUACCCUGCAGAAACCUUCUAUCCUAUGGUCAUGACAAUAUUUAAUUAACAAGACAUCAGCUGUACUGAAUAUUAGUUAAGUGGCAGGCCUUUCUGCCAACAAGUUAUUAGUAUGCCAUCUUCUGACACUGUACCAGAAUAGAACAUUGAUUAUUUGGGGGCGGGGCUGUGGUAGUUAACUCAUUUGUGAUGUGCAACUCUGUACUAUAUCCUCUAGUAUAUCUUAUAAAUCAUACAUAUAUAAAUUGACAAACUGACAGGAUGAAGCUACGUAAGCUACUGCACCAUACAAUUUCUGCAUCUAGACUAAUAAUAAAUAUAGUGAGAUAAACCUAGUGUCACAGUUCAUAAACUUUUGAGAAAAUAUGUUAAUUUCUCUUUUGCUCCAAGAUAAGUAUUGCCAGUCUAAAUGGAAAACUAUUCAAAUUAUCAGGGUUUCUCCUUAGAUUAGUAGGCUUUAAUAAUUUAAGUCAUAUCUUUGAUUUCUAAGCUGUCUCCAUGGUAACAUAGUUGGAAGUCUUCGUGGCAACUAAGUGGGUGAGAACAUGUCCCAAGGCCACUUUGACUUGUGGAAAACUGCCAAUAGCUGUUUAUUCUUAUCAGAUACAGAGCAUCUCAUUAGAGCUGUAUUAUCCCCAAAAAUUUUGUACUGAAGAAGAUUUAGACACUUACAUUUCAGGAUGGGGGACUCCACUGCUCUCUGCCUGACAUGUCACCACCUACCCCCAUGUCCUACCCCUCCAGCCCAUGUUCUCUAUUGUGGUGUGGCCAAUGUCCAAAUUCCCUGAUUCUGUUGGAAAUUCAAAUUUCUCAGAGGCAGAAUGGCUUGUGGUUGCUAAUAUGGUCGUCGUUUGUGACAUUUAUGUGCCCUCUAUGAUCCAUACUCUGUGAUGACUUUGUGAUUUUCUGCCUUCGCCAAGCCAGGCAUAUACUUUGUCAGCUGAUCUAUCACCACAUUUGAAUAAAGUUCUCUUAAUGUUCGUGACCCACUUCUGCAUAAUAACAACGUAAAGUGAAGGAAGAGGAAGGAAGGCUUAGAGCACUCAAUUCUUCAUUGCCUGCCAUCCCAUUCUCUGGCAGCUCAUUAGACAAAGCUGCCACAUCCCAAGGACAUUUGGCUGGAUUCAAAGAACUUUGAAGCCCAAGGGGAUGGAGGAACCACGGGAUGGAAGGUGCCUGAAUCCUGAAUGACUGUGUGGACAGUUUAUAAACAUUUGGGCAGUGCCAUCUCUAUCACAUAAAUUUAUUUUGUCUUCUUUUAUUUCUUCUUACCUUCCCAUGAUUUUCCUGGGUGAAUGGCUAAUUAGAAGAGUAAGAUGAGGUAGAGGGUGGAAUAGAGAGAUUGUAAAUUCUGCUUUGGGGAUAUUAAUCUGAGUUGUGUGUGAGAUGUUCAAGUGAAGAUGUCAAGCAAAAAUUUAGAUAUUUGCACCCCAGUGUGGUGGCUCACACCUGUAAUACCAGUACUUUGAGAGGCUGAGGCGGGUGGAUCACUAGAGGUCAGGAGUUGGACACCAUCCUGACAAACAUGUUGAAACCCUGUCUCCACUAAAAAUACAAAAAUUAGCCGGGCGUGGUUAUGGGUGCCUGUAAUCCCAGCUACUUGGGAGGCUGAGGCAGGAGAAUCGCUUGAACCUAGGAGGCAGAGGUUGCAGUGAGCCAAGAUCAUGCCAUUGCACUCCAGCCUGGGCAAUAAGAGCAAAACUUGUCUCAAAAAAAAUUUAGAUAUUUGCCUAUGGAUUUCAGAGGAGAAAUGCGGCAAGAGCAAAAGUUUCAGAGUCAAUAACCUAAUACUUGCAUUUAGCUCCAAAAGAAUUGUUGAAAUUAUAUAGGGAAAGAGGGUAGAGAAUAAAGAAGUGCCUGAAGUUGAGACUUAAGAUUCCUCAACAUUUAGAGUUUGAGUAGGAAUGGAGUUCAAGAAAGAGCAGAAGGAAAAGUAGAAGGGAUAUCAGGAGAGCAUGAGGUCAGAGAAGCCAAGAGAGAAAUAUUGUGCAAGAUGGAAGAUGUGGCCACCAUUAUGAGUUCUACUGACUGGUAAAGUAACCGUGGGAGCCAUCAGUGGCCUUGACAAGAGACAUUUCCUGGGAUGAUGGUUGGAACCUAGACUAGAGCAGAUUGAGGAGACAACCAGUAGUAAGGCUACAGAGAAAAGGGAACACUUACACACUGUUGG